CAGUAGCCACAGGAAUACGGAGGGGGCUAGCGUUGUUCGGAAUUACUGGGCGUAAAGCGCACGUAGGCGGCUUGGUAAGUUAGAGGUGAAAGCCUGGAGCUCAACUCCAGAAUUGCCUUUAAGACUGCCGAGCUAGCAGGUGAGAGAGGUAAGUGGAAUUCCGAGUGUAGAAGUGAAAUUCGUAGAUAUUCGGAAGAACACCAGUGGCGAAGGCGGCUUACUGGCUCAUACUGGACGCUGAGGUGCGAAAGCGUGGGGAGCAAACAGGAUUAGAUACCCCUGUAGUCCCUGUCUCUUAUAC
rnacentral:rRNA from 1 species